GGCGAGAUCGCAUAGUGGACUAGUGCAACCGCCUUGAAAGCGGUCGAGGUGCAAGCCUCCGUGGGUUCGAAUCCCACUCUCGCCG
rnacentral:tRNA from 1 species